rnacentral:tRNA from 1 species
GGAGAGGUGGCAGAGUGGUUGAACGCGGCGGUCUUGAAAACCGCUUUGCCCGCAAGGGCAACGGGGGUUCGAAUCCCUCCCUCUCCGCCA